rfam:Haloterrigena daqingensis strain CGMCC 1.8909 genome assembly, contig: Ga0104462_101
GGGAGAGAGAGCCUGGCUGCCGCGGCGACUGGGUCGGCAACGAUCCAGUUGUCCAACGUGAUGUGACUCCUCGAGUCGCAUACCGCACACACCGUUGCCCGGCUCGUAGAGCCGCGUAACGCGCGCGAGGAAAGUCCCCCCACCUGUUCGGGCAGGUGACCGGAUGCAAAUCCGGAGCGGGAGACCGCUGGCUCUGGAACAGAAACGACACGUCUCGACCCGACCGAUGAUGCGUGCGAACCCGACCGAGAGGAAGGGGAGUUGACCCGCAGAGGAAGGGCGAUUCGCGCGUCUUUGACGCGAGCGUCGCCGACAGGUGCGCGGCCAUAGCCGCGAACCGCGUGUGGUCGCUUCGUUACACGGUUCGAACCCGUGGAUCGCGUUCGACGCGAUCGACCACACUCAGACGGUCGAGGAUCGAUGGAACGGCGAACCCUCACCGGUGCAAGUCCGUGCCGUGGUAGCCCGAACGCCCCGCGGCCUCGCCGCGGACGGCGCGGACGCUCAGCCGAAUGCCGGGACGAACAGAAGGGGGCUUACUCCUCUCACCU